GUUCUUGGGUCAUGGACACUCAUA
rnacentral:piRNA from 1 species